ACCCCGGCGCGGAAUGCGUCAAGGAAACAUGAAGAAACGAGCUUCUGCUGCGGCCCCAGRUUUGGUGCUUGCCGCGGCAGAUGUGUUGUGUUUCGUUUAAGUCUAACAACGACUCUCGGCAACGGAUAUCUCGGCUCUCGCAUCGAUGAAGAACGUAGCGAAAUGCGAUACUUGGUGUGAAUUGCAGAAUCCCGUGAACCAUCGAGUCUUUGAACGCAAGUUGCGCCCGAAGCCAUCCGGCCAAGGGCACGUCUGCCUGGGCGUCACACACCGUUGCCCCCCUAAAUCCCUCUGACACUAUCCAAUACGGUGCAUAGGGAMMACGAGUGGCGGAUAAUGGCCUCCCGUGGGCCACGGCUCGCGGUUGGUCUAAAUUUGAGUCCUCGGUCACGGUUUCUGUGGCGAUAGGUGGUUGUCGAUCAUUCGGUGCCCCGCCACGUGCUCCGGACAAAAGCAUCGAGAGACUCGACAAACUUGACCCCAAUGCGCCCCACGCGGGUGCUUCCAACGCGACCCCAGGUCAGGCGGGGCUACCCGCUGAGUUUA
rnacentral:rRNA from 1 species